rnacentral:rRNA from 1 species
CCCGCACAAGCGGUGGAGCAUGUGGUUUAAUUCGACGCAACGCGAAGAACCUUACCAGGGCUUGACAUCCCCUGACCGCGUAUGAAAGUACGUUUUCACCUCGGGUGACAGGGAGACAGGUGGUGCAUGGUUGUCGUCAGCUCGUGUCGUGAGAUGUUGGGUUAAGUCCCGCAACGAGCGCAACCCCUACGUUUAGUUGCUAACGCGUGAAGGCGAGCACUCUAGACGAACUGCCGUUGACAAAACGGAGGAAGGUGGGGAUGACGUCAAAUCAUCAUGCCCCUUAUGUUCUGGGCUACACACGUGCUACAAUGGCCGGUACAGACGGACGCAAAGCCGCGAGGUGGAGCAAAUCCUAAAAAGCCGGUCUCAGUUCGGAUUGCAGGCUGCAAUUCGCCUGCAUGAAGUCGGAAUCGCUAGUAAUCGCAGGUCAGCAUACUGCGGUCGAAUACGUUCCCGGGCCUU